AAUAUGCUUUGCACUAAACCAAACUGUCUGCCCUCUUUGCUUCAUAUUGUGCAAAGAGGUACGGUACAGAGAGGUAUUUUUUUGUGAGGAUGACAGGGCUAUUGGCAGUGUUUGCAUUCAUACUUUUAAAAGUGUAGUUUUAAAAUAGUAUUUUUUGCUUUUUUGCCAGCAUUAUGAGAGUAUUUUUAAAACACAGCUCAUUCACAUGCCGCAGUACUCGCUAGUGUCAAAACUAACACACCUCAAGAUUUUUUUUUAAAGCAAACAUCAUUUGUAAACAUUUAACACCAAGCUAGAACACAUAUUCAUUAGUUACACACACAGAACCUCAAGAUCUAUAUCAUCUCACUAAAAAUAUGAGCCAGAAACCUUUCCAUUGUAAGCAGGACUUAACAGUAAUUCAAAGACUGACUUUAACAAAUCUGUAGGGUUCACUAAGUGUCCUUUAAAGGCACCAGUACUGGACAAGUACAGGACCCUUUAUCCCACAUGCCUUUCUCCACAUGUUUGAUUAGAAGCCUUCCUUAUGUUGCUCUGAAUGCAAACUGUGUCAUCAAGAAAUGUAUUUAGCUAUUACUUUUAACAACCUCAAACGUAAACUUUUUUAUAGGAAAAGCUGAGGUAGGUUACUUAAGUUGUAACUACAUGGUGCAGAAAGCCAUUUAAAAUGCAGAGGAUAGAAUUAAAAUCCAGCCUACAGUCACGAUGCUCAAUACUCCUUCCCAUGGGGGCAUACAGAUUUAAUCAAUAUACAGCUGAAUGUAAAUUGUGCACUGCACCAAACUCCACUCUUAAGACUCUAUCGCAUGCACUUUAGUUUGUUAGCGUUUCCACAAGUAACUAAUUCCCUGCAGCGCCUUCCGUUGUGUAUUUUAUCACUUUGAGAAUGUGUGACCGUUCUUGUCACCUCUACCUCUGGCACUAAUGAACGCAGGAGAAGAUAGGGCCUGAAUAUAAUGCUGGAGGAGCACAGAGGUCCUGCAAUGUAGCUGACGUAAGGAGAUCUCUGCAGAUUUCAUUGGAGGAUCAGAAGGAGAAGGGGGAGUGAAACCUUUUGCAGUAAGUCAGAGUGUGAUGUGUAUCUGGAGGAUGACACUCGUCAUUAAGCCCUUGACGUACCCUCUGUUAUUGCUACAAGAGUGUUUGCAUCACUGACUUCAACAGCGCAGAGGGAGUUUCACACGCUGUGCAACAGAAUAAUGCAGCGUCUUCUCCCCCCCAUCAGUGCAUCUAAAAACACAGACAGGAUCCAAAGCAAAGUAUGACCCGAGUGGGAACAAAUCACACGAGUGGAAAAGCAAAUUAGAAAUUCACAGCAGGCUGGCUGUUAGAGUGCACUGCCCCUGACGGCACGUGAGUCACCUCUCGGCUGUACAGGUCAGGAAAACAGCCGACUAAGCAAAGGCUCGCGUGGCCAUCUAUGUGCUUUAAUGACCGCAGCUAUCAAAUGACAUGACAGAAGUUAAACAUAGCACCGCAGCAGAGGAAAAUAAAUGCAUUUGCCCAAUAGCGACGUGGAAUAAUAUAUGAUAUUCCAUGACUCCAUGUUGCCAAAGCUGCAAGAUGAUACCCAAAACUUUGUGCUUCUUAUCUUGUUACCCAGUGGCUGGUUUUACAAAUUGGAGUACAUCAGUGUAAUCCCAUAACAGAGUGAGCUGGCUACUGUACAGUGGCUUGUGUUUCUGCGAUUUCUGUCGUUCUCUGUCAGCAUCACUGACCUCUAGCAUGAGAAAGCAUCCCACUGACGUGACAGCCAAGCCAUUACUUCAGGACAGAAAGGUUUUCAGAGUGCCGUACCGUUAUGAAGCGCAGCACAUGGAUGCCGGGGUUCGUGAUCUAACGAGUAGGAGACAUCUUGUAAAGUCAGCAGGUAGCCUGUUUCAUAAACUGGUGCAAGCAUUUUGAGGUAUAGGCAGUGGAAAAUAAGGAAUGACACAAACACCAUCUGACACCGUGGACGUUCAGGAUGUGAUUGAGAAAGGACAAAUCUGGAUUUACCGAUUCGUGCUUUUUAAAAGCUAAAAUCAUGUUCAGGGGAGGAAACACAUAUUUUCCAAGAUUCCCCAAAUGAACCUAUAAUCUGCGUUUCAUUUUCCCACCAACGGCUGAGAGCUCAGACAUAUCAGGUGACAUGAAACGGCCUCACAUCCCCGGCCUGCGGAUCAUGUGACAACAGUCUACCACUGCAUCCAAAUCCUCUGGAUCAAACGACAACAUGUACACCGGCAAAGAAGCAAUCACCUAAGUAUGUUUAUCCCAGGAGGGAGCAUGAAUGCUAAUAAAGAUGAACAAUUCCAAUCAGUUAAUGUGGAUGCGUGUUAUGACAGAGGUUUUUCACUAGUAAGGUGGGGGACUAAAUUGUCUUGCCUUUGAGCAAAUGCAAAGGUUAACCAUGAAGCUGAAUUCCUCGAGGGGGAAUUAAAGAUUUUAAAGGACCAGUUUUGAUUCUGCAGAGUGCUGAAUGGCACCAAUGUGUUCAUUUUUAGCGUGCAUUAAGAGGAACUGCUGAAAUCUCGUGAUCUAAGGUCUAACCACCUACACACUGUGUGACCCAGGAUGUGAAAUAUCACUUAAGACUUAAAUUUAUGAGGUGGCUGCUUCUUAUUCCCCAUCAUCAAGAACUUUAAAUUAUUUUGGAUUCAUAAGCGGUUGUCUAUCCUUGGCUUGCUCCAAAGAGGAAAAACCUUGCUCAGGAUGAUAGUAAAGCAAUUAGAGGCCUAGGUGGUCUGUAAUCAGAUGGUCCCUUUGGACCAGACCGAAGGGGUAUUUUGGAGGGCAGUUGAUAGGUGUAACAGAGACAGGAAGAAAAAGGGAGAAAAAUCACCCAGGUGUAAUUUACCGCACUGCGGAAAUAACCCAGACCAUGCUAUAAAUCUCCACUUCUCAUUUCUACUAGAAAAUAAUUUUUACUAAAGUGCAGGUUAAGUCACUGGCAGAUCCCAUGAGAAAAAGAUAAAUCAGGGCAUAGUUGUAUUUUACAGAGUGCAUGGUUGAAGGUGUCCCCCCUAAUGCAAUACAUUAAAAAAGCAUGGAGUUAAACAAUACAGUAUCAUCGGCUUCAGCAAUCAACUCUACCACUUCCUGUGGCUGCACAGUUCAUUCUUUGUGGCGAUCAUUUGUAUCUUAACAUUGGUAUCUAGCCUAUGUGAAAGCUAAACCCAACAUCCAACCCCCCUUUUUUCUCUAUUGCGUCAGCUGUGCAAAAGAAAGGAGCAGGUUUCACUCUGUUCCUGUGCAUUUAUGUAGUAAAACUCUGCCCUCUGCAGGCCUUCAGCAGAACACUAUUUAUCUG